GCGAAUUAUUAGCAGUUGAUUCAAUAGCUUAGAUCAGCUUGCUGGACAAGCGAACACCGUAGAAAUACGUGCCGGUUCGAGUCCGGCCUUCGCACCA
rnacentral:tRNA from 1 species